AAUGAUACCCUGGUAGUCCACGCCGUAAACGGUGGGCGCUAGGUGUGGGUUUCCUUCCACGGGAUCCGUGCCGUAGCUAACGCAUUAAGCGCCCCGCCUGGGGAGUACGGCCGCAAGGCUAAAACUCAAAGGAAUUGACGGGGGGCCCGCACAAGCGGCGGAGCAUGUGGAUUAAUUCGAUGCAACGCGAAGAACCUUACCUGGGUUUGACAUAUACCGGAUCGCCUCAGAGAUGGGGUUUCCCUUGUGGUCGGUAUACAGGUGGUGCAUGGCUGUCGUCAGCUCGUGUCGUGAGAUGUUGGGUUAAGUCCGCAACGAGCGCAACCUUGUCCUGUGUUGCCAGCAAUUCGGUUAGGGACUCGCAGGAGACUGCCGGGGUCAACUCGGAGGAAGGUGGGACGACGUCAAGUCAUCAUGCCCCUUAUGUCCAGGGCUUCACACAUGCUACAAUGGCCGGUACAGAGGGCUGCGAUACCGUGAGGUGGAGCGAAUCCCGUUAAAGCCGGUCUCAGUUCGGAUCGGGGUCUGCAACUCGA
rnacentral:rRNA from 1 species